rnacentral:lncRNA from 1 species
AGCAAAUGUGACUCCAUUUUGUUUUAUGACUUCAUCCUGUAAAACCACCAUGCCAAGUAGAAGAGUCAUGACUGGGGCAAGAUGUUCUUUUCCUUUUGCUAUAGAAACCUUUAAGAACACAAAACUACCUAAUGGGGUAUUGUUUCUGUAACUAGGGUAACAGGGCUCUGUUUCUGUAACUGGGGUGACUGGGCUAACUGUGAUUGGUUAGGCUUCCCUCCGCUUGACUGCACUGUCCCACUUCUGUAACCUGGCUUGCUUGCAUUGGCUAGACCCCCUGAACAUCCC